rnacentral:rRNA from 1 species
AUUGAACGCUGGCGGCAUGCUUUACACAUGCCAGUCGAACGGUAACAGCACUUCGGUGGCUGACGAGUGGCGAACGGGUGAGUAAUACAUCGGAACGUGCCUAGUAGUGGGGGAUAACUACUCGAAAGAGUAGCUAAUACCGCAUGAGAUCUAAGGAUGAAAGCAGGGGACCUUCGGGCCUUGCGCUACUAGAGCGGCUGAUGGCAGAUUAGGUAGUUGGUGGGAUAAAAGCUUACCAAGCCGACGAUCUGUAGCUGGUCUGAGAGGACGACCAGCCACACUGGGACUGAGACACGGCCCAGACUCCUACGGGAGGCAGCAGUGGGGAAUUUUGGACAAUGGGCGCAAGCCUGAUCCAGCAAUGCCGCGUGCAGGAUGAAGGCCUUCGGGUUGUAAACUGCUUUUGUACGGAACGAAAAGCCCUCUUCUAAUACAGGAGGGUCAUGACGGUACCGUAAGAAUAAGCACCGGCUAACUACGU